rnacentral:lncRNA from 1 species
AUGGCUCUGUACUGCUCAGGUUCUUUGAACGUUGUUAUUUUUACAAAAAUCCGUCCAAGCAGCCAAAAAAAUCACCCCCGCUGGCCGCCUAAGCGGGUACGGCUCAGGACUCAGUCCAGCCUCCCGCUCUCCCGCCAGCACCCCCCGCCCCGCCAGAUCCUGAGCCACCCUACACAAGCAUCCUGCAGUCCUCUAGAGCCUACAAACACAGUCCUCUCCUUGAUCCGCAUCCCCGCCCAGCUGCCAGGUACUUUCACGGCUGCCCUUCUGCUGCAGCCGGAGCUCACAGCCAUGAGCAUCCGAAGCCAGCUCUGGCUGGUUUCAGCAAAAAUGGAACUGAUUAAAAGGAUAUUGAAACAUAUGUCCAUACAAAGACCAUUCCACAGACGUUUGUAACAGCUUCACUCACAGUAGCCAAAGACGGGACACCGCUCUGUUCACCAACAGGGCCGGGGACGGCCACACUUGUGGUAUAUCAGGUAGGGCAAUGCCCUCCUCAGUGGCAAGAAGGAAAGCCCUCUCCUACAAACACGCCCCCUGCAGGUGAGCCAGCACCUGCACAGAGGGAGCUCAGCAUCAGCGAGCGGGCGGAAAGAGGCCAGGGAAGAGAUGUUUGAGUUUCCCUGAAAGUCCAAGCUUCUCACCCACCCAACACCUGUGCUCAGAUGCCUCGAGGAUGGCAAGUCCACGCCUCUCUUCCGCCGUGAGACCCAGUUAUGACACCUGCAGCCUACAUUAGACGGCCUGGGUUGGAGUCCCAGCUGACAUUUCCAGCUUCCUACAAAUGUGCAUCCUGCGAGAUAUAGGUCAGGGCUCAAGUACUUGAGUCCCUGCCCCCCACAUUGAGUUCUGGGCUUCUGGCCUCUGCCCAGCACUGGCUACUGUGGGCAUUUGGGGAGUGAAGGAGUGGAUGGGAAUUUCUCUCUCGCGCGCGCGCGCGCUCUCACUCUCGCUCUCAAUAUCACUUUCUCUGUAUCAUCUCUAUCUCUUCCUGCCUCUAGCAAAUACAUAAAAAUUUAAAACAAAGCAAAAGCCCUCUGGAACAGGAAAACUAAUUGAUAAACCUAGAAACAAGUGCUUCAGUGGAGUCAGAGAUGGGAGAGGAAAUGGUGAGAGGCACAGGUAACUUUGAGGGUGACAGGCAUGUUAUGCACCUUAAUAGGAACUUGAGCUGCUCCUCAAUAAGAUCUGUUACAGAAGUGGCAGAUACACCAGGCCUGGCUGAGAGGCAGGUGCGUGAGCACUGGGCUGGCUCACAGGACUGGCAGCAGCUUGGGAGACGGGCCAGGGAUUACAUGUUCACCUCCAUCAUCACUCCCCGAGCUCCUGUGCCACGGCGAGCCCUGCACUGGCCACCACCUCGGCUGCCCUGCCAGCCAGGAGCGCUCCCUUCCACAGCCACCCUCGCUACAGGACACGUCUCCAGAUCUAGCUCCCCACCCCACAUCUGGGGUGAGGCUCCUGUCUGCCAGACCCAGCCCUGAGCUCACUCCAGCACAGGCCAGCUGGGAAGACAAGUAUCUGACACCUUCCUGAUGUGUAGCGGUCAGCAGGCUCUGCUUCUCAGCAAGACCCAGCGGCAGGGCAGUCUGCAAACUGGGGAGAUGUUGUAGCAAUCAGGCCCUGGAAAUAAAUGGCAGGUGUCUGAUCCA